UACGUAGGUAGCAAGCGUUGUUCGGAAUUACUGGGCGUAAAGAGUGUGUAGGCGGUGCUCUAAGUUCGGUGUGAAAUCUUCCGGCUCAACUGGGAGGGUGCGCCGGAAACUGGAAUGCUUGAGCGUGGGAGAGGAAAGCGGAAUUCCUGGUGUAGCGGUGAAAUGCGUAGAUAUCAGGAGGAACACCUGCGGUGUAGACGGCUUUCUGGACCAUAGCUGACGCUGAGACACGAAAGCGUGGGUAGCAAACAGG
rnacentral:rRNA from 1 species